rnacentral:sRNA from 1 species
AUUUUUGCUAUCUUUUUU